rnacentral:lncRNA from 1 species
UACACGGAGAACUUUAGUUUAUAUUUUAAACAACACAAGUUUACAGUUUUAACAGUGUUAUCAUGAUACGUGAUAUGUCUGUCAUUUUUCGGAUUUUUGAUCGAAAGUGAACUGUUUUAGUAUUUGUUUUUUGGGGUUUUUUUCGUGUGGCCGUCCGUCUGUUAUUCAGUAUUGAGGGGGGUCAGUAUUCGUACGAGAACACAUAUGAAACGUUGCUUUCGAUAAUUUUGAAUAAAAACUGUUCACAUUUACUUGGGGGCUCAAUUAAACAGAGGAAGUUCCUUUUGUAUUGUGAAUCUUUUAAGAUAUGGGAAAUUCGUUACCGGCUGAAUUAGCGGUUGGAUCGUUUUUUUAAGUCUCCCGAUCUUACGAGAACAUUAUGGUCAAUGCCUUAGUAGGUAAACACUCCCAUUCGUUGUAGCAGGGACUUUCUAUACUAAGUAUAUACUAGACUAAUAUAGAAAGUCCCUGGUUGUAGUUAUAUAUAUGUCUGUUCAGCUUUCAACAAUAUUGAAAUUCAAGAUCCUCGAUAAAAAAAAAAUAUCUUGCGUUCUAUAAUCUUGCUUUAUAUGUUUAUUGAACUUACCAGGUUCUAAAAAAAUAUCUUUAAAUACAGAUAAUAAUUGUUUGCAUGAAAAUUGCUCCAAGGAUCCAGCAAAACUGAUCUUUCUUAAAGUAAAGAAAUCGAAAGAAAACGGGUAAUUUUUAGCCAUAUCAUUUGAGAAAAAAAUCCGCGGUCACAACGUAUUUAAUGUUAACAAUUAUAGGUCAAAGUACGGCCUUCAAGACGGAGCCUUGGCUCACCCCGAACAACAAUCUCAGCUUGUUUUUGCAUAAAAGUUACUUCCAGGUUCAAGCAAUAUUGAUGUUUCUUAAGGAAAUCGAAGGGAAACGGGUAAUUUUUAGCUAAUGACUGAGAGAACAAAAUCGGCGGGGGCUACACCCCCAACCCCCUAUCUUGGGGACCUCAAUCGGUGGCCCACAAACCCCUGCCUCCCCUGAAUUCGAACACUAGUUACGGCCCUG